rnacentral:rRNA from 1 species
UGGGGAAUCUUCCGCAAUGGACGAAAGUCUGACGGAGCAACGCCGCGUGAGUGAAGAAGGUUUUCGGAUCGUAAAACUCUGUCUUUUGGGGGCGAACGUGAGUAUGGGCAAAUAAUCAUAGUCAGUGACGGUACCAAAGGAGGAAGCCACGGCUAACUACGUGCCAGCAGCCGCGGUAAUACGUAGGUGGCAAGCGUUGUCCGGAAUUAUUGGGGCGUAAAAGAGCGCGUAGGCGGGAUUAGUCAGUCUGUUGUAAAAGUGCGGGGCUCAACCCCGUGAUCGCAAUGGAAACAGCUAUUCUUGAGUGCCAGGAGAGGAAAGUGGAAUUCCCAGUGUAGCGGUGAAAUGCGUAGAUAUUGGGAGGAACACCAGUGGCGAAGGCGACUUUCUGGACUGUGUCUGACGC